ensembl:lncRNA
AAAAUAAUGUGUUUGUGGGCCUGAUCAGUGAAUGUCUUUUCCACGAGUAUGAUAAAGUGCCUCUCUUAAUCCACUGGAAAUGCUUCUAUUUUGCAAUCUGGACACAGUACUUGUUUUCAGAAACAGGGGCACCCUGCGACUCAGCCUUCCUCGCCCGUCUCUUUUCCCAUCGCUAACCGCCAGUCUUCUCUGCGUCCUGGAGAACACGAUUCCUCUUCCCCCGCACCGGAGCAGGAGGCAGCUGCAGACUCGCCCCAUCAUCCGCCAGGUCCGUGUGGAGCCGCCGGCCCUUACACCAGGGCCGAUCGCCCAGCUGGCUCCUGCCAAACCGAAUGAAUAAAGCCUGGACUGCCCCUGCCUUUCCCUCCGCUGGGAAGUGAGUAGGGUCUCUCUCCCCCCAGCUGCCGACCUGCACAACUCUUAAAGGAACUUAAUACCUUUGGGGCCUUUUAUCCUUCUCUCAAGUUUACAUGAAAUUAGGUAACCGGUUCAAAAGUUGCUUACAGAGGACUGAGAGACUGAUAGUGUCAAUUGCAUGUGCCUUAUAUCCCUCAGAAACAAGGCCAAAAAUAGAAGCAGAAGAAUCUUGCGGCGCUGAAAAAGACUUACGAACAGCAAAGCCUUCAGCAACCACCUGUAGGCUGAAAAAAACCUCUACGUCCACGGUUUACAAUAGAAACUGAGAGCGGUUGAGCAUUCCUGGAAUCAACAUUCAUGUCUGGAGUAAGAUAACAGAUGCUGUUCCUUGAGCUGCAGAGAAACCGCAUAGAAACCUUAUUCUGAAACUUUGGGGGUUUCUUUUUUGCUGUAAUUCAAGAUGAUUUUUCCAUCAUUGCUGCCUCCUAGCUAUUUUGAGAUUGUUUUUUUUCUUUAAGAAAAAGAAAAUCCUCGCUGUGAAGCACAGAAGUUUUGAACUACCACCUGCUUGCAGUCUGAAAAGUGCAAUAGCGGGGUGCAGUCAGUCCUAAUACGGCAAGAGAUGUAACAUCUCAGAUUGGGGGUCUCAGUUAAUAUACCGCUCAAAUACCUCUAGCAAAAGUCUCUCGAUUAUUAAAUUGUUUGACUUGCCCACAUCUGUUUGUAAGCGAAGUCAGUUUACUAAAAUACAGAUUCCUUCUAUUCCUGUUAAACUAGGAUUGCAGCCCCGCAGCUGCGCUGCAGAACACCCUGAGAUGUACAGGGAAACCAACAGUUUUUAUCAGCCUGAAGCGAAAGCCGUAUUUUCCAGCUUUUCAGAAGAAGGCCUUGCUAAACAUGGCACGUCUCCGUACUAAGUACAACUGUUGUGACAAAUUUGUGAUGAGACAAAAACAUUUAAGUUAGAAAGGUAUGCCUUUCCCUAGGUACGCUUUUAUAUAGAGACUGAGGUUUGGUAUAGAGGCAUAUCUCCGAGAGGCUUCACUUCUGCUGCUGUUGUUGUUAAUGGUGGUGGUGGAAAUUAAUGGUAUUUGAGGAUAACAGCUUUAUACCAACCUUUACCACACAGCUGCCCCAGUGAGAAUUUUUAUUUCUAUUCUAUACCUCAGUAGAAAUAAAAGCACUGAAAAGCUAUGGAAACCUGACGUG